UACGUAGGUGGCAAGCGUUGUCCGGAAUUAUUGGGCGUAAAGCGCGCGCAGGCGGUCCUUUAAGUCUGAUGUGAAAGCCCACGGCUCAACCGUGGAGGGUCAUUGGAAACUGGGGGACUUGAGUGCAGAAGAGAAGAGUGGAAUUCCACGUGUAGCGGUGAAAUGCGUAGAGAUGUGGAGGAACACCAGUGGCGAAGGCGACUCUUUGGUCUGUAACUGACGCUGAGGCGCGAAAGCGUUGGGGAGCAAACAGG
rnacentral:rRNA from 1 species